ensembl:lncRNA
GGAAUAUAGUCGCUCCUCGAUUUAAUCCAUUCCUUCCUCCCUCAUUGUGCCUGCCUGUGACCAGCUUGGUUUGUCUGCACCAAGUAGGUUCCUGGGCAAGCUAAGCCAAGCCGUUCUAUUUCUGGAGCCCUCUGCCGAGAGCCGCUUCAAGCAAGAUCAUGGAAAUGUUCUGAUGACAGUCCCACACCGCUACAGUUGCCAGAUCUUCCCAGCGCCAGCGGCGCGCGGCGGCGGCGCGUUUACCUAAGCGCGGAGAAGUGUGAGGGUUGGUCCUGCCCCGGGUGGAUCGUCGCUUUGGCGCCGUCAGGCUUCAGGCAUUGAUUGUAUUUACUUGUUCUGAAGUGCCCAGGACUUAAGGUUGAUUUUCCUUCACCAGAUUUAAAAUACAUUCAUCUGUGGGCGAACAAGGAGGAAAAGAAGAAACAGAGGGCUGCCAGGCGAAGCGGGAACCAGAGGAGUACCCGGGCGCCCCUGGGCAGGAGCCAGGUGGGCGCCCUUUCGGGAAGAGAGCCCCGAGGGCCCAGUGGAGGUGAGGGCGUCGGAAGGCCCCGGGCGGCCUUGGCCGGGAAGGAGCAAGGGUCCCGUUACCCGCAGAGGAUAUCUAGGCCCAAGGCCCGCUUCUGCCGCGCCCGCCCUCCGGUCUGGGUCGGCUGGGCUCCCGGCUGCGCCAAGGUCGGGUCUGCUGGAGAGACUGGAAGUUGCGGUUCGCUGCCGCCCACCGCGUGCGCCCCCUGCAUCGCACAGCCUUGGGCCUGUUGUGACUUCUGGGCAUCGACACCUGGAACCCGUUAAAAGCGCCUCCUCCUCACGCCCGGCCUCGGUCUUUCCCCACCCUCAGGCUCUCCGGGCCCAGGAUGCCGAAGUGAGCUGCUCUUUGGUUCUCGAGUGGAAACGGAGUGGGGAGGGUCCCUGGGAACGCAACUUGGGGGCAGUUUCAGAUGGUUCCCGACAGGCGAGAGGAGCAAAGAAAUUCACUCAUCCGGAAAGCAGAUCGAGAAAGCCAGUGUGGCCGGAGCUGCGAUUUCCCUGCAAGGUGGCGGGAGUCGGAAGAUGGAGUUGGGAAAGAGUCCUGAUGGACCUGCAGGCAUACUUGGAGACAUUAAACCAUGAAGCAAAGAACCAAAACCUUUCACCAAUUUUAUUUGAUCUAGAAACAAUUAAGUAAAAGUGCUGAAGUCCAUGUUAUAUGGGGAACAGGAAACUUCAAAAUAAGCAGAGAAAGCUGGGGGCUGGUUUCCAUGGUAGCAGCUUGCAGUAAAGCCUAAUUCCUUGUGACAAAGAGGUCAUCUUCCUUUUCAAAUGUGUUUAUGAUCCCUUUGUGCAUUGUAUUUUGGCAUAAAGGCUUCUAUGCCCUGUCAGGGCUCCGCAGGCAGCUCUAUGACUCUCAAGGGGGUUUAUUGCCUCCUUGGUAUAAGAAUAGCAGAAAGAAGCCAAACUAGUGCCAGUGUGACAAAAGAUAACCUCACGGGCUUGCUGUUGCUUUCUUUCUGUUAACACAUAAAUCUUGCUAUGCACUGAAAUAAUUAAAAAAUGAGAGAUUCUGGGAUAACUUUGAUUUUGUGUUUUUUCAACCUUUUACAUAAAUUGAAACACUACAUGCAAACAUGUACAAGAAGAUUGAUUCAGUGUGAGGAUAUAAUUAUUUUUUGCCUCACUUUCCACAUAAUUU